GGAGGCUGUGAUCCAGUGGGAGACCCAGCGGAGAGAGGGGCCUUGCUUCUGGGCUGGAGCAGACUGCCCUUGGAGGAAUGCACCCUGUGGAAAGAGUGACCCAUGCUACAGCAGUUUUGGGAGGACUGCUACUGGUGCCUACUGUGAUUUAAGAGGUCUGAGAAUACCCUAUCUGACAGCAUUGCAUUCCAGGAGGAGAAGAAAAAUUAUGAGGAAAAGAAGGAAAGGAGAGAAUGAAAAGAAUGUGAAGAGAAGGAGAAGAAUAAGAAGAAGAAAGAGAAGGAGGAGAAGAAAAACAGAAGAAAAAUAGAGAAGUAUAUACCAUCUAUUUAGAACUGAAUACAUUUCUGCAGCAGUGAGAAUAUCUGCAAUCUUUCUCUUCAAAAAUAUUUUGAAUGAUCAGAGUCUCAUAGAUUUAUCCACUUUCUUUCAAAGAAGAAAAUAAAAUCCAAAUAAAAUGAGCAAGGAAAAGGAAUAUAAGACACCAAUAUGAAAACAUCCUAUCAAGCAUCCUUCUAAGUCAUCCAUUGAAUCCCAUUCCUAAGGCUUAUUGGAUACAAAAUACUUUCAACUUAAGGUGAAUUGUUUUCUCACACCCCUAACAAAAAAUUGGAUAUCCAAAGAUGUGUCACAGACGGACACAGUCAGAAAACCAUCUUUGAGAACACCUUCUUCUGACCUGCUCCCCUCUCCCUAUGUUUCUACAUGUAUCAUUGUAUUCCUAAAGGAAAAUUUUGAAGAAACAUGGGAAUUCCCCAUUCAAUUCAAAGAGAAUAAUUCCAUUUAUCAGCUUCUUCCACUUGCUCUAGUAUCCCCAGUUCUGCUUUCCUAAAUGAGGUUACAUUGAUCAAAAAGUUCACUGAUAGGUCAGGUCACUAUCACACUGUGCCCUCCAAGAGGAGAUCAUAUGGCACUUUACUUCAUCCCACUCUAUUCACCAUGCUGGCACCUGAAUUCACAGUUUUCCAAAGCACCCUUAAAUUUCAGUUUUGAAAAUCUCUAAGGCCAAAUUGGCAUCUGGAAAAAAGCAGUGGCAGAGGAUUGCUGUGGUUGCUAGAAAUGCACUCUCAAACAUGUUCAAUCAGUAUAAAAAUUCCUUGCAAGUUUUAGUAUUUUCCAGAGAACUGUAAAGCCAUUAUUUGUGAAUGGCCAGGCACCAUUCCCAUCAGGCAGUUUGUGUGAGGCUACACUUUUUGGAGGCUAAAGAAAUGUAGUAGCAGAGGUGUGUUUUUCUCUGCCCAUCAACCAUGCCAGAUGACCAAUGAAUGCUCCCAGAGUAAUUUAAUUAAUUAUUUAUGUGUCCAGUCAGUAACACCAAUAUUAAUAUAGAAUUUUAAAAUUGCCACUUUGAAGAAAUAGCAAAAAUCUUAUUUGAUCCUUGAUCAUGAUGGGAACCAUGGCCAAGUCACUAUUUAGAAUGAUUGAUAUUUUUUCCCUUUUUAUAGUUGGCUUUCUGGUUCCUAGAUUGAUAAAACAUCACACAUAUUUAAUAAUUUCUAAAAUUUAGUUUCUAAAUGUGUCUAUGUUUAUUUGCAGUUUAAUAAAACACACUAUCAUCCUUGAAUCAACAUGGUUCUUAAGAACUAAUAAUUUAAGAGGAAAAUUAUGCACCUUUUCAAGAAAGUAAAUAUGCUGAAAAACAAUAUAAUUUAUUGAGCAUGUGUCACAAUAAUACCAUCAACAUUAUUGUCAUUAUCCAUCAGCUGACAUGUAAAUUACACAUACCCUAAAGUUGAGUGCCAUAUGAAGUACAGGAAAUCUAGAUUAGGGCACUCUUCUGAAACUAUGGAAGGUUUUGUAUCUAAGGUGCUGGAGCACCUCCAAGGAGAUCAAGACGUCCAUAUGUUUCAGAAGCAGGGAUACAUUUGUGGCUCUUCUUUCAGGAAAAGCCGGCAUACACAUCCAGAAGCAUCUCUGGGUCUGCAUGUUUCAAUUAAUGGGGUAUCAUUUUCAUGGAGAGAGCUUGGGAGGAAAGACAAAAUUCUUGAUCUGUUCUUCUGUGGCAGCUGUAGCAAGAAGAAUAACAAGAAGGGCAGACCUGUCCACUGAUGUCCACUAGAAGUGGUUUGAUUAUAAUUUCUAUUACUCCUUUUACUUAUGCCCACUAACAUGAAACAUGUUCAAAAAACUGCAGGCCCUGAGAGCAAAUCUUUCCCCAGUCCCAUCGUCUUAAUCUCUCUGACCCUUCCACCCCACUCCACAUCCCAACCCCUAACCAGCCUUAAAUUUGAAAGAGAUCAAGUUUUUAAAAGUAUUUUCUUAUCAUGACAUUAUGCUGUUAGGCUGUAAUCUGUACAUAGAUCUCAAUACUUUACUGACAAUCAGUUCUGAAAAUUCUGAAAUCUUGAAAAUUACUGGAAAGUUUUGUGAACUAUUACAAUAAUCUGUUUCUGUGAGAAGAACUUUGAUGAUCCAGAUUGUUCUCUUCCUACAUGACUUCAGCUGAUAUUGAUGUGUCACAGAAUGGUUUUCUGAGUAAAAACAGACAGAUUAAUCACAGUGAGUCUGAGUCAGCUUAUUCUUCUUGGGUUAAAGAAUUCCAAACACUGACUAACCUCAGGGGGAAAUGAAUAUAUUAAUAUUUUAACUUAAGUUCUCCCUUUUCACCUUAUCAGCAUGAUGAUUGUUUCCCUGUUGUCGCUGCUUUAAUUGAAAGUUAAACAAACUCUACUUCUUUCUAAGUAGAGUGAUAUCUUAAAACAUCUGAGUAUAUUAGCCAGACAGAUUAAAGAGAGAUUUUCACCACACAGGUGCAUUUAAAACAACUUUCUUUGUUCUUUGUAUAUUCUAUUGCAACAUUUAAAAGGCCUUUUCAAGAAACAGAAGCAUGAGCAUUUAACUGAAAACAGAUGAUAAACAAAACAUGAGCUAUUGUGUGUUUUCUGCAGUUUUAGCAAGGAAGACACUUUUAAGCUAAACUGCAUUUUGAAAAAGGAGCCAGCAAAUAAUUUAACAACACCUUUCAUCCAGGUUCAUAGAAAAAAAAAGUUCUCUACAUGGAAUUGAUAGGAAAAGACAGGCAGCUGGUUUAUUAAAUUUGAGCAUAUUUAAAAAUGAAACAAGACACUUUUGCCUCAACCUAGCAGUCUUUUCCAUUCUCUAUUAGUUUACAGUGGAAUCAAAAAUCUUUCUCUAUCAGCUCUAUGACAGUAUUCAUACAAUUUAACAAGUAGUUCUGUAACAGUCUUUGCCUUGUUAUUAAAUGAAACUUAUUAUUACAGACAAUCUUGAUUUAGAGGUAUCAAACAUGCCCCAGAUCCCCAGAUAAGUUAUUGCAUUGAUUGGUUGAUCCUACAGUUAAAAAUUAAUGUUUCUUUUCUUGUUGAUCCUCCUCUUUUGGAAAACAGGAUGCUGAAUUUGUUUGCUGAAUUAAAGACAGCAAACGAAAUGAAAGUACAUACAGAUCUCUCUCUAAGCAGAUACUCAAUGGUAAGACAUCUCUUCAUCCUCAAUGAGAAGAGCUAAACAUUUUGAGCCAACAGUUUUUGCUAGAGCUGGAAUAGUCUUGAAAUGGGAUCAGAUUAAUAUUUUCAAAAAUGUUUCUAAAUAGGUACUAUAAAGUGUAAAAAAAUCCACCUAGACAUAUAUCAUACAUGGCAUACUCAAUAGAGUGAAAAGGCCUGAAACCAUAAGGCUGAACAUUUUUCAUACACACUUGUAAACAAAUAUUUUGAAAUAUUUUAAUUACCACCUGGAAAUUUGUUGACAACACACACUGUUGAAUGAUUACAUUGUCAGGUUUCUGUUGAAUUCUGUAUCCCUUUUUCACAACCCUGUGUCCAGAAAAUCAACUGAGUCAACUUAACAUCAGACACUUAAACACUUCAUAAUGCAAGUCAGAGAGAGAGGGAGUGUAUAAGAAAUUUAUAAAUGGAGACCAAAGAAAAUUCAGUGUGUGUCUCUAUGGGGCUGAAAUAAUGAAAAACUGAUUUUUUGUGAUCCACAAUUCUUUUGUUUAUAUUUCCUUGAUAUACAAGACUUGUUAUUUUUUCUUCAUAAAAUGAAAAUAGAGAUUUAUUGCCUAAUAUGUGUACUUGAGUUACACAAAAAUACCCAAACUCCAACUGUGUUGCAUUACAAAAUGUUUUGUAGGAGCCCAGGAAAGAUUUAAUUCCAGAAUGUUUUGUAGAAGCUCAGGAAAGAUUUCAUUCCGGUGGCACAAGCAGUACAGGGACUACUGUGCUAAGUAUCUGCUAGUUUAGGCUCUUGUGUUUUGCAGGCAUCUUAUAUAAACAGUGUCACAACAUCCUCUUCUCCCUUUAGUCUUUGAAUAUUGUUGGUGGGACAGAGGAUUAUUCAGAAUUGUUAUUUCCUUUGCUAUGGCUUCUUUUUCUCUAAAGAAUACUUUUUAUGUUCUGCAAAUUUUAUGACAAGAUUUUAUAGCAUGAUGCAAAGAAUAACAUAAAGGUUAGUGUCAAGCCUCAUAAUAAAGAUCAAAGAUGGACAAUCAAAGGACAAUACAAAUAACCUACAGGUGACCAGAGAUCAAUGCCAAUUCAAGGCCUGCUGCUUUGCUGAAAU